rnacentral:rRNA from 1 species
CCGGGUGACCGGAUGCCGAUCUCGAAAACCUGUCCCAGUUCGGACUGGAGUCUGCAACCCGACUCCACGAAGUUGGAUUCGCUAGUAAUCGCGCAUCAGCCAUGGCGCGGUGAAUACGUUCCCGGGCCUUGUACACACCGCCCGUCAAGCCAUGGGAGCCGGGGGCGCCUGAAGUCCGGGACCGCGAGGACCGGCCUAGGGCGAAACUGGUGACUGGGGCUAAGUCGUAACAAGGUACC